rnacentral:rRNA from 1 species
UACGAAGGGGGCUAGCGUUGCUCGGAAUCACUGGGCGUAAAGCGCACGUAGGCGGCUUUCUAAGUCAGGGGUGAAAUCCUGGAGCUCAACUCCAGAACUGCCUUUGAUACUGGAGAGCUUGAGUCCGGGAGAGGUGAGUGGAACUCCGAGUGUAGAGGUGAAAUUCGUAGAUAUUCGGAAGAACACCAGUGGCGAAGGCGGCUCACUGGCCCGGUACUGACGCUAAGGCGCGAAAGCGUGGGGAGCGAACAGG